rnacentral:rRNA from 1 species
CACGUAGGGCGCAAGCGUUGUCCGGAAUUAUUGGGCGUAAAGCGCGCGCAGGCGGUCCUUUAAGUCUGAUGUGAAAGCCCACGGCUCAACCGUGGAGGGUCAUUGGAAACUGGGGGACUUGAGUGCAGAAGAGGAAAGCGGAAUUCCACGUGUAGCGGUGAAAUGCGUAGAGAUGUGGAGGAACACCAGUGGCGAAGGCGGCUUUCUGGUCUGUAACUGACGCUGAGGCGCGAAAGCGUGGGGAGCAAACAGG